rnacentral:rRNA from 1 species
CUAAUACCGCAUAAGCCCACGACCCGGCAUCGGGUAGAGGGAAAAGGAGCAAUCCGCUUUGAGAUGGCCUCGCGUCCGAUUAGCUAGUUGGUGAGGUAAUGGCCCACCAAGGCGACGAUCGGUAGCCGGACUGAGAGGUUGAACGGCCACAUUGGGACUGAGACACGGCCCAGACUCCUACGGGAGGCAGCAGUGGGGAAUAUUGCACAAUGGGGGAAACCCUGAUGCAGCGACGCCGCGUGGAGGAAGAAGGUCUUCGGAUUGUAAACUCCUGUUGUUGAGGAAGAUAAUGACGGUACUCAACAAGGAAGUGACGGCUAACUACGUGCCAGCAGCCGCGGUAAAACGUAGGUCACAAGCGUUGUCCGGAAUUACUGGGUGUAAAGGGAGCGCAGGCGGGAAGGCAAGUUGGAAGUGAGAUCCAUGGGCUCAACCCAUGAACUGCUUUCAAAACUGUUUUUCUUGAGUAGUGCAGAGGUAGGCGGAAUUCCCGGUGUAGCGGUGGAAUGCGUAGAUAUCGGGAGGAACACCAGUGGCGAAGGCGGCCUACUGGGCACCAACUGACGCUGAGGCUCGAAAGUGUGGGUAGCAAACAGGAUUAGAUACCCUGGUAGUCCAC